AUCUAUACUGUGAAACUGCGAAUGGCUCAUUAAAUCAGUUAUCGUUUAUUUGAUAGUACCUUACUACUUGGAUAACCGUGGUAAUUCUAGAGCUAAUACAUGCUAAAAACCCCGACUUCGGAAGGGGUGUAUUUAUUAGAUAAAAAACCAAUGCCCUUCGGGGCUCUUUGGUGAUUCAUGAUAACUUAACGAAUCGCAUGGCCUUGCGCCGGCGAUGGUUCAUUCAAAUUUCUGCCCUAUUAACUUUCGAUGGUAGGAUAGAGGCCUACCAUGGUAUCAAUGGGUAACGGGGAAUUAGGGUUCUAUUCCGGAGAGGGAGCCUGAGAAACGGCUACCACAUCCAAGGAAGGCAGCAGGCGCGCAAAUUACCCAAUCCCGACACGGGGAGGUAGUGACAAUAAAUACUGAUACAGGGCUCUUUUGGGUCUUGUAAUUGGAAUGAGUACAAUUUAAAUACCUUAACGAGGAACAAUUGGAGGGCAAGUCUGGUGCCAGCAGCCGCGGUAAUUCCAGCUCCAAUAGCGUAUAUUAAAGUUGUUGCAGUUAAAAAGCUCGUAGUUGAACCUUGGGCCUGGCUGGCCGGUCCGCCUCACCGCGUGUACUGGUCCGGCCGGGCCUUUCCUUCUGGGGAUCCGCAUGGCCUUCACUGGCUGUGUCGGGGAACCAGGACUUUUACUUUGAAAAAAUUAGAGUGUUCAAAGCAGGCCUUUGCUCGAAUACAUUAGCAUGGAAUAAUAGAAUAGGACGUGCGGUCCUAUUUUGUUGGUUUCUAGGACCGCCGUAAUGAUUAAUAGGGAUAGUCGGGGGCAUCAGUAUUCAAUUGUCAGAGGUGAAAUUCUUGGAUUUAUUGAAGACUAACUACUGCGAAAGCAUUUGCCAAGGAUGUUUUCAUUAAUCAGUGAACGAAAGUUAGGGGAUCGAAGACGAUCAGAUACCGUCGUAGUCUUAACCGUAAACUAUGCCGACUAGGGAUCGGGCGAUGUUAUUCUUUUGACUCGCUCGGCACCUUACGAGAAAUCAAAGUCU
rnacentral:rRNA from 1 species